GACCAUCUAGCGACCUCCACCGCAAGGCUAAAUACUAGUUAGUGACCGAUAGUGAACCAGUACCGUGAGGGAAAGGUGAAAAGAACCCCGGAAGGGGAGUGAAAAAGAACCUGAAACCGUGUGUCUACAAGUAGUCAAAGCACAUUAAAGUGCAAUGGCGUGCCUUUUGUAGAAUGAACCGGCGAGUUACGUUAUCUAGCGAGGUUAAGUCAGAAAAGACGGAGCCGGAGCGAAAGCGAGUCUUAAUAGGGCGAAAAGUUAGGUGACGUAGACCCGAAACCAAGUGACCUACCCAUGACCAGGCUGAAGGUGUGGUAAAACGCACUGGAGGGCCGAACCCACGUAAGUUAAAAAUUGCGGGGAUGAGUUGUGGGUAGCGGUGAAAUUCCAAACGAACUUGGAGAUAGCUGGUUCUCUCCGAAAUAGCUUUAGGGCUAGCCUCGUGGAGAGGAUAAUGGAGGUAGAGCUCUGUUUGGACUAGGGGCCCGUCAGGGGUUACUGAAUCCAGAUAAACUACGAAUUCCAGAUAUCCAUACACGGGAGUCAGACUGCGAGUGAUAAGAUCCGUAGUCGAAAGGGAAACAGCCCAGAUCACCAGUUAAGGUCCCCAAAUCUAUGCUAAGUGGANAAGGAUGUGGAGNUGCGCUAGANNNUCUAGGACGUUGGCUCAGAAGCAGCCAUCAUUCAAAGAGUGCGUAAUAGCUCACUAGUCGAGUGGCGCUGCGCCGAAAAUUUACCGGGGCUAAGCAUAGUACCGAAACUGUGGAUGUGUUUUAAAGAGCACGUGGUAGGAGAGCGUUCUAAGAGCGGAGAAGUUGAAUCGAGAGGAUCAAUGGAGCGCUUAGAAGUGAGAAUGCCGGUAUGAGUAGCGAAAGAUAGGUGAGAAUCCUAUCCGCCGAAAGACUAAGGUUUCCUGGGGCAGGCUCGUCCGCCCAGGGUAAGUCGGGACCUAAGGCAAGGCCGAAAGGCGUAGUCGAUGGACAACAGGUAGAAAUUCCUGUACUACAAGAUUGUGAUUGAGAGAAGUACUGACGCAGAAGGAAAAGUCGAGCGUGUGAAUGGUAGAGCACGUCCAAGUAACAAGCUAGAAUAUACAGGCAAAUCCGUAUAUUCGUCAACGUAAGUUAUCAUGGGGAGCAGAAAGAUGCGAAGCGACAGAUUCAAACUGCCAAGAAAAGGUGCUAUCGAAUAAUCUUGUACCCGUACCGCAAACCGACACAGGUAGGCAAGAAGAGAAUUCUAAGACGCGCGGAAGAACCUUUGUUAAGGAACUCGGCAAAAUGNCCCCGUAACUUCGGGAGAAGGGGAGCCAGAGCGAUCUGGCCACAGAAACCAGGCCCAAGCGACUGUUUACCAAAAACACAAGUUUCUGCAAAAUCGUAAGAUGAAGUAUAGGAGCUGACACCUGCCCGGUGCUGGAAGGUUAAGGGGAAGGCUUAGCAAACGCGAAGGCUAGAACUUAAGCCCCAGUAAACGGCGGCCGUAACNAUAACGGUCCUAAGGUAGCGAAAUUCCUUGUCGGGUAAGUUCCGACCCGCACGAAAGGUGUAACGAUCUGGGCACUG
rnacentral:rRNA from 1 species